GGGGAUUUGGGAUGGGCUAAGCCUGAUCCANCCUGCCGCGUGUGUGAAGAAGGCCUUCGGAUUGUAAAGCACUUUAAGUUGGGAGGAAGGGCAAUNAAUUAAUACUUUGCUGGUUUUGACGUUACCGACAGAAUAAGCACCGGCUAACUCUGUGCCAGCAGCCGCCGGUAAUA
rnacentral:rRNA from 1 species